CGAGAAACAAAGCGCUGCUCACCAUACUCAGCCGCGCCACGAUUCACUCCGCGCCGCACCACGGCGCCAACACUGCCCGCUCAAAAGCUGCCCUGAAACGGCCACGGCGUUCCGGCCCCUCCGUGGCUGCCGGUCAGCUCCCCACCCGGGAUGAAGCGCCACGGAUGCCAAGAAGAACAUUUGGGGCAGCUGCCAAAGGACACAACGUCACAACCACGAGAAGAAAGAGGUGGCGGGUGUGCCUGCAGUAUUACACAGUGCAAAAUGUCACUGGGCCACUGACAUAAAAGUUUACAAAGAACAAGGAAGCGGCAUCUCCAAGGGACUCAAGACAGAAGAAUGGAAGUGCCCAGGAACAACCCAACAAAACAUUUUCGACACCGUAUAGCAUUGUGUAAUCCUGAUGGACUACAACAAAGCCCUUUUGUGAAAUGGACUGGGCCUGCAUAUCAUAAACAGAGAACAACCAUUAUUAACAUUUGAUUUAGUAAUACAAAUUUUGAUCUUCCUUUCCUUCAGAAGUGGGAGAUACCUAACUCACAGGUGUAUUUUCAAAACAUACCUGAGGGUAGAAAGUAGCUUUAGUGCUGGAUGAGCUACUUGAAGAGGCUCCAGUAACGUGGUUUCUGUCAUAUAAGGGGGCACCACUGCUUCCUCCCAUGAGACUCAUGGAGCUAAUCACAGACUUUCCACAAGAGAUGCCUGCAGUAAGAUGGAGAAGAAAACAAGAUUAGGUAAACCACAAUUUCACCUACCAAUGCAAACCAAAACAAAUCCACAGAUCGGCAAACCCAUGCAAUGCUACUGGUUGUCACUUUGGAAACAGUGUUUUAUGUAAAAACUUCAGGAUUACAAGGAACAACAUAUUGUGUAAAGCAAACACUUCAUCUCCAGACCACCUACUGUCUCACUGUAGCACUGAACUCCUCACAACCUGCUCUCAUACUCUGCUGAGAAAGGAAUCUCCAGAACAGUUGAUACAAACUUUUACCCAAAGCAUUAACUGAGAAAUUUCCAAUUAAACAAACUUGGGCAUUUGCAAAAAAAGUGUUAUACUUUGCCCAAGUAAAACAAGCUAGAAACCUUCAAAGUUUUCAUUUCCAUCCAAAGAAAUUCUAUUGCAAGUACAUGAAAAAUAGCAAAAAAAAAAAAAUUUAAUAGAAAAAUAUCACUGCCCAAACUGGAAAUCAGCAGAGGCAAAAGGAAGGAAACCUGGGUGACAGGAAAGGUGAAGACAACAUCCUCCUAUCUGCUUUACUCCAAUAUACACUUAAAUCAGAUGAUGUAUUUUCAGUUUCUUCCUGUCAGAAUAUUCAGUGCUAACGGAAGAGCCUAGUUUGGGGAAGUUUUCAGAAAUUUAUCAGAUGCAGGAAAUAUUUGUCACAAGUAGAAUGACUCUAUUUGUGAUCCUCAUUCAUGACCAUCUAUCUUUUUGGGAAAUAGCAUGGUAUUAGGAACCUAUGUUUUUUCUUUAGAAUUAAAUCUAUGGUAAUAUUUUCAGCUGUUGUAACUUGUGACAGCCAUAUGGAUUAGAAAAAACUAACAAAUACGAAUAAGAAUCAGAAUGGCAGCUUAGAUUAGCACCCACAGAGGUACAGAUGAAAACCACUGAUAUUUGCUUUAUUUAAAAAAGUUUCAGAGUGAAGUCCAAUUUAAAACACUACUGCAAAGAUUUCACUUACUAGGAUUUCAUCCUCAAAUUUUAUUUCCUACCACAAAACCCUGUUGAUAACCACAAAAACAUAAUUUAGACAGGAACAGCUGUUCAGAGUCAUUGAAGUGCAAGAAAGGCAAAAUCUAAGUUGUAUCUCCUUACCUUCAAAGCCAUGGCUAGAACAAAGCAACAAUUAGCACAUCUCAAAAAUUUGUUUAAUAUUAAGCAGUGCCACAUCUUUUCAUUUGUCUUUAUCAUAUAUCUGAUUUUCAACUGACAUGAAAAGUAGACUCCAAGCACUCCAAAGUAUGGAUUUCUUGUAUUCUGACCCUGAAGAGAUAUUUUUUCUUCUCAGAGCUUUGUAGUUAAGAAUUUGCUAUUUCCUCUACAAAGAAGUGUAUUCUACAUUUUUAAAUAAUAAUUUGAGGUACAUCAUGGGGGUCACAACACCACCAUGCAAUGCUACAAGCUUGGGGAAGAGUGGCUGGAAAGUUGCCCGGUAGAAAAGGAACUGGAGGUACUGGUUAACAGCUGGCUGAACAUGAGACAGCAGUGUGCCCAGCUGGCCAAGAAAGCCAACAGCAUCCUUGGUUGUAUGAGAAAUAGCGUGGCCAGCAAGACUAGGGAAGUAAUUGUCGCCCUGUACUCAGCAUUGGUGAGGCUGCACCUCAAAUACUAUGUUCAGUUUUGGGCCCCUCACCACAGGUAAGACAUCGAGGUGCUGUAAUGAGUUCAAGGAGGGGCAACAAAGCUGGCGAAGGGUCUAGAGAACACGUCUUACGAGGAGCAGUGAAGGGAACUGGAGAUGUUUAGCCUGGAGAAAAGGAGGCUGAGGGAAGACCUCACUGUUCUGUACAACUACCUGAAAGAGGUUGUAGUGAGGUGGGUGUCAAUUUCUUUUCCCAAGUGACAAGUUACAGGACAAGAUUAAACGGCCUCAAGUUGCACCAGGGGAGGUUUAGAUUGGAUAUUAGGAAAAAAAUAUUCACUGAAAGGGCUGUCAGGCAUUGGAACAGGCUGGCCAGGGAAGGGGUUGAGUCACCAGCCCCGGAGGUGUUUAAAAGACACAUAGAUGAGGUUCUUAGGAAAAUGGUUUAGAGGUGGACUUGGCACUUAUUAGGUUAAUGUUUGGACUUGAUCAUAUUAAAGGUCUUUUACAACCAAAAUGAUUCAUGAUUUAAGUGUUUACUUUGAUGUCUAUAUGAGGUUUCUGGGUUCUUAUCUACUGGCUGAAUAUCCUGAGCUUUUAUGUAUACUUCAAGUCCUCCUAUAUCAGCAUCAUAGCUGCAUGCACUUCUCUGAAUGCAUGCUUUGAGUCCUUUGUGAGGCAGAGAAGCUUUGCUGUUUUACAGAUGCACAACUGAGACACAGAGAGAUUAACUACUUUGUCCAAAAGCAAACAGGAAAGCUAUCUCAGAGGUGAGCUAAACCAAAGGGGAUGUUUUCAUUAUGCUUCAGGCAAUGAGCAGCCAGACCACAAAACUGCAGCCAGACUGCUUGUGUUCUUCUACAUUUGCUGUUUUAACUUUCAGCAGGGCGGUUUAUUCCCUUCUUUUUUGUAUUAUAGUAAACUAAGCUGCUUCACUUCUCUGAUUCUUUCCACUGUGGAAUGACUUAUCCAUCCUGAGCAGACAGAACAAAACCGUGUGAAGACCCUGACAGACAGGACAGAAACAAGGAUAUCUGAGUACAAGACAUGAAGAACAACUCAACAGACCUCUCACUACAAUGCUGAACGGUACAUGCAUUCUUAGUUUCCAAUAUUUCAUGUGGUUCACUACUCUUCAUAGUGUUUUUCAGGCCUUAGGUAAGAAGUACUAUGCAAACCCCAGGCUUCAUUAUACACAACAGAAUUGACUAUUUAAACAGGAUGUUUUCACUGGCAAAAUACUGUAGCUUUUCUAUCAAAAAUAUAGAUAUGUAUGCAAAUGCAGCCUAGCAUGAAAAUUGCAUUUGAAAAUCUGGCAAGAUGCCUAAUGAAAUGCAUCUAAUAGUUUUGGCAUAUGAUUCAGAUGACAGAUUUAUACCACAACCACUGAGCAGGUCAACAACAUCUAAUUUCUGUUCUUUGAAAACUCCACAUCUAGCACUCUUAAUAACCUGUAAAACUCCAAAUCCAGACAAUGUAACAUUACUGAUUAGAUGCAACGUCCUUACCAUCCUUACCAGUAAAAGUGCCAUGUUGAGAACUUCCUGGAGCAAUAAAAUUAAGAGGGACAUGAGGGGUGCCACUGACAUACUCAUGUGGAAAAUGACUAUUAGGCCCGGCAUAGCGCUGACACACCACUCGCUGACAAACAAAGUACAUUCCUCCCAUGACAAAAAGUGACAGUAUUAUACCAAUGACAGGACCAAUGGCACUACUGUGUGGCUGUGCCUCAUCUGAGGCUGGCUUUGUUUUUUCUGGAAAGAGAGGAGAAAAAAAAAGGAGAUCAUUAAAUAUGGGACAAUAUAUAUGUUGCUGUCCUGGAGCUUGUGCAGGAAAUCAGUCAGCUUACAGUCAUUCACACAGUGUCUUUGAAAGUAUCUACAAACUCAGGCAUCUAUAACUCCAUAUAUUUGGAUUCAAUGCACCAGACUUCCUCCUCUUCCCUUCCAUGUGCAUAAAGCAGUAUUAGCAUGGUACUCUCCAUUUUGCCUAUCAAUUAAUCUUGUAACAGGAUUACUUAUCAUCUUGAUAUAACAACAGCCUAGAAAGUUUCCAUUUCUUCACCCCACAAAGUCUACAGGUUAAGGAUAUAGUACAUUUAUAAACAUGAAGUCCUGAAUCAGAGAGGAAUCUGCCUUCUCAAAAGCCUUUUGGAAUAGCAAUAACAUUAAAAAAUUAAAAGAGUUUACAACUAUGAAAGCUAACAUAUGUAUUAAGCAGUGGUUGCCUUCCUAGCUAAAAUAAGUCUUAAAAUAGAGUACUUCUCCUUCCUAAAAUAUUACUUGCUUUCUAAAAAAAACCCCUUACAAAUUGCAAGGAAAACACAAUCCAGAAUAUUUCAAAUACUUUCUACUUGUUUUUUUUCUGUUUUCCCUAUAUAGCCCAAUGUUAAAUAAUAAAAAGCACUGCAGUAUUUGAGAUGAGCAUCAUAUCUUCCCUGAUUAUAGGUAACACAUUCAAAAUUCUUGCCAAAUAAAUCCAACACCUUUGUUUUUUGCAUAUGUGACAUUCUUCAGUGAAAAUGAUUUUUUCCAUGUGAUCCACACAACAUUUAUUAUUUUAUUUUUUUACAUAACCAAAUAUAUAUAAUGAAAAAAAAUAAACUUGGUAAAAGCUUAUCAAUUUUACAUGUUCCAAUCAAACUACAGACCCCUUCCCCCCUUAAUGAAGUUGUAUGAAUUUAAAUGGUUCAUGUAAGAUUCAAGCCUUCUCUUAAUAAAAUUUUUCUCCAGUGGUUCUACUUUCAUUCCCUUCAAUAGAAGGGAAUGAAAAACAACUGAAAUUUGAGGAGGGAGAUAAAGGAAAUACAAAGAUCUACCGAAGAACUCUUUAACAGCUCAGCAUCAAGAAUUAAUUUCUGUCUUAAAGUCUUUAUCUACUUUUCACACUUACUAGUGCAUGAUAGCUUUUAUGUCAACUAAGGCCCUCACUUUGAAAUAGUCAGAUAAGUUCAGUUAUGACACCUGAAGAAAGCAAAGCCAAAAUUAAAACAUGUUCCCAGGAUUUUAAAACACACAAUUCUCAUUUUGGUUAAACCUAGCUUCUUUUCAAUACAAGAUCCUUGUCUAGAAAGACGCAAUCAUUUUUAUUCCCUACUUGGAUUCUUUCCCUCUGUCAAGCAAGAAUCCACAGAAUGCUCCAUUCCAGAGAGACUCCAGAAGAGAUAGCCUUAUGUCUACAGAGAGACAUGUUUAAAUCAGUUAAGACCUAAUUGUAGGACUCAACUCAAAGUGCUAACAGGAAACAUCUGCAUUAACUUGGUACCAAAAGAGUUUGCCAAGUGCACAAAGAAUUUAAAAUGGGAAGAAAAAAAAAAAAAAAAAAAAUGAAGAACUGGAUUACAUUAUCCAGGGAACUGGGGAAACUGGGUGAGACCUGAGAGAUGAAUGGAAAAUGUGAGAAGCCUGAGAAGCAUAAAAUCAUAUAAUAGGAUUGGAAGGGACCUUUAAAGGUCAUCUAGUCCAACCCCCUGCAAUGAUCAGUGACAUCUUCAACUAGAUCAGGUUGCUCAGAGCCCCGUCCAGCCUGGCCUUAAAUGUUUCCAGGGAUGCGGCAUCUACCACCUCUCAAUCUGAAAUUUCCAACAGGAGAGCUAAACAGUUUUUGUCACCAUUCUUUUAGCCUUUUCUUCUUUUCACCACUCUUGCUCAUGAAAUACACUUUUCCUUGCUGUAGCCACCGUGAGAAUGGAAGGAAGAAACAAGGUUACCCUGACCAGACCUGGUGACCCCUACUCUCAUCCCAGACGUGGUACAGUUUCUGACAACUGGUGCUUCAAAACAUGACAAGACUCUAAGAUAUUAAAAAUGUCACAAUUAGCCAAGGUCCUAUAGCCAACAUUAUUAAGCAAAGUGCAGCAUUUCUCUACUCAAACCCAACACCACAUAUUUGUUCAGAAUGACUCACUGACAGAUCAGCACAUCUAUUUGCUUUUGUUCAAAAAUGCUAUGUUCCAACUAUUUUGCCAGGCCACUCAUGAGCUACUAAAUUCUCCCUUUAUUUGCCCCAUUGCCUGAAAACUUCAUGUACUAGUCACCCUGAUGGUGCAAAAAGAGAGAAAUUGGAAGCAGAGCACAACUAAGUGAACUUUACUGCCCACUUCAGACUGCAAAAUAACAGAACCUGCUAGGGACUAAUACAGCAAUUGCCAUCAGUGUGCCUGUAACUUGCAUAUACCUACUGCCAGGAAAUUUCAAAGUAACAUUUUGACCAGAAAAAUCAAGGUCUCUCCUUAAAUUCUUUCCCUACUGUCCCUUUAAGAGACCAGCUUAUGGUUUCUUGUGGACAUUUGCUUAUUAUAUGCUAGUUCCUCCACAUUAUUAUUCUCUAGGUUGACUCUGUAACUGCAGUGGAUAGGGCUGCACAUUUUUGAAAGCCACACCAAGCUUAGCAGCAGCUCUGCAAGCUUCAAGGUACUGAGCACAGCAGAAUCAGGUCCCUUUGUGUAUGGAUCUGAAGGCCCAUCUAAACAAGACAGUGUUUUAUCUCAUACAGUAUUGCAGAACUAGCUUGAAGUAACACUGGUAUUUCAGUUCAUCUUCACUACUGCUGUUCCUGUAUUAUCUGGAAUACUAGCAUUACAGACUCACUACACUAUGCUGCAAGCUCACACUUUUGCUGCACAGAACAAUGGCAGAGGAUGACUAUAUUUAGCAGACAAAUAAAACUGUGAGAGUAUUUGGCUUUCUGAUUCACUGGGCUACCCUGAAUAAUGUAACUAUGUAAACACUGGGGAUCUGCAUAACGAUGUAGGGCAGUACACUUGAACACAGCACUUUAAUUUCAAGGAAAGGCAACUCACCACACAUAAGCUCAUCAGAACCGUCAAUGCAAUCUGGAAAGGAGUCACACUGUUGCUUCAGGAGGAUACACUGGCCACUUGCACAUCGGAAUUGAUUGGGUAGACAAAUUGCUGUACAGAAAGAAAGAAAAGAUUAAGUAGUACUUGCAUGGGAGCAUUUGAGUAUCUUAAGAAAACCAAAAGAAGUAAGUCAUGAAGAAACAGUGCAUUUUGGAUUAUGACCAGGUAGGCACCUGAACACCUUGUUUGCUGCUGUGGGUCAAACGCAAGUCUGCAUUUCUCAGAUUCUUCCUUCUUCUUAUACGUCAUACUCAGUGGGGCUAAAAUAAAAUUCUGAUCCCAGUAACUCCCCAUCCUUUGGGAUCAAAUCAGCAAGAAUCUCUUAGAAUAACUAACAGAGUGUAGUUGAUCACCUGACAUGUUAAUAAAAUCACAGAAUCACAGAAUGUUAGGGAUUGGAUGGGACCUCGAAAGACCACCUAGUCCAAAUCCCCCUGCUAGAGCAGGAACACCUAGAGAUGAGGUUACACAGUAAGGCAUCCAGGAGGGUUUUGAAUGUCUCCAGAGGAGACUCAACAACCUCACUGGGCAGCCUGUUCCAGUGUUCUGUUACCCUCACUGUGAAGAAGUUUCUUCUCAUAUUUAAGUGGAACCUCUUGUGUUCCAGUUUGAACCCAUUGCCCUUUGUCCUAUUAUUGUUUGUCACUGAGAAGAGCCUGGCUCCAUCCUCGUGACACUCACCCUUUACAUAUUUAUAAACAUUAAUGAGGUCAUGUAGUAACUUGGCAUAUUAUAAAACCUUACAUACUCUACACUAUCUUAGGUAGCCCUGUAUAAUAUAACCUUGCAAAAUAACUGCUAAAUUUCUUUUCUACAUUCAGAAGCCUUUCUUUCAACAAAAAGGAACUGUUAAUUAACUUGGGAACCUCUGUCAAGCCAAAUAACACUAAAUUAUCAGUAAAGAGACUGUCUUACAAGGGCUAUUGACCAGCAAUUCUGGAAGGUUCACAGCACAGGUUAUUCAAUGUAAAAAGAAGAAAGGUUCUUUUCUUCUGGAGGAGAAGAUACAUGUUCAUGUUUUGGGUCACAGCACUUGUGGUGUUGUGAAGUGGACCUCCUGAACAGCCAUACUUACUUUGCUCUGAUCUAGUUUGCAGAGCAGUUCUUGGCUAAGAAAACUAAAUUAUGGAGAUAAAAACUUAGCUAAAACCUCCAAAUGCAUCAGGUCCUGAUUUGCACUGUUAUGCCCCCAGUAAGCUGGAUGCAGCUCUGCAGGCUCCUACAGUGCAUACAAACACAUGUUGAUGGAAGGCUCUAAAAACAUCUAAAGCUUCCAUCAGACUACUUAGGUUCUUGCACUAUGAGAAGGGCCAUGUUCUGUGUGCACCUUCAUAUUUGCCAACAACUGCCAGCCAUCUACUGGCUACCUGCUGCUCCUUUGUCUUCCAUCGAGACUUCUGUCUUAAUAUCCUUUUCCUUCUGUUGUGGUUUAACCCGAGCUAGCAACAUAACCAUGAUAGGGACUCACUCCCUCCACCGCCUCACCCUGAAUAGGGGACAGAAUUGAAAGGGAAGGGAAAAACUCAUGAUUGAGAUAAAUGCAGUUUCAUAAAAUAACAAAAUAAUACUAACAUACUACUCCUACUAAUAAUAUAUAUAAAAGGAAAAUAGAGUAUGAAACAAAAGAUACUCAAUGCAUUUCCUCACAAACUUCAUCCAUACUGAACAGCCUGUCCCAGGAAGUAGCACCCUGCUCCCAAACAGCCGAUGCCAGAGAGAGAAGAGAGAGAAAAAAAAUGCAGAAAGGCACAGAGGCCUCUGCAAAAGGUUUGAUUCUCUCCCCUGUUGAGGGGGGUGGGGGAGGGGAUGAGUGAGCGGCUAUGGUGGUUGUAUUGCUAGCUCAGGUUAAACCAUGACAGUGUUGAAUUAAGAAGAUUAAUUUAGCAGAAGUUAAGCCCCCCUGCUGGGCUGAACCCCAGAGUGAUGCCCAAUUACAUCAUAUAACAAGUUGGCACUACAAGUCUGAUUGUGCUCAAUGUCUGGUAAGCACUUGCACAGAUUCACAAAUAGUAUAAUAUACACUAUAAGUCUGAGUGCAUUCAAUAAUGUUGAAUUUGCACAAUAGAUUCAUUAAUGGUGCAGGGCAGUUGCAGUCACUGAAUUUACACAGUUGUGCAGAUUCACAAAUAGUAUAAUUUAUACUAUAAGUCUGAGAGCAUUCAAUGAGAAAUUCUCACUACAAAUGAUGAGGUCUAUUAAAGCAACAGGUGCAAGUUCUUUUAGACGCCGUUGAUAAAUACACUGUCUGCAAAAACACACUUUAGUUGCAAAAUACAUUUUAGUUGUAAAAACAAAUGUUAGUUGCAAAAAAUAAGUAUUGCUACCAUAUAUAUGUAAAUUCUAAGAUGACCAAAUAAUGCUACUAAUAUGUUUACAAAUACAAGCUUGAAGUCUAAGUGUCUCUGGGAAAACUUGGUGCAACUACAUGCGCAAAUCUUACCCCAAAGCAUCCCUUUGGGGCAGAGACAACAGAUAGAGCCUGUUGACUGUUCUGGCAAGUCUUACUAUGCUAUUCCCUUGACUCCUCAGUGAUGGUGUCUUCCCUCACCCUUCCUCUAUUGUUAGGGUAUUUUAUACUAUCUUCUACAUUUAGGUGGAGCUUGAGUGACUCUAGUCAUACAUGCCUUUGUUAUUGGUAUAAAAAAUGUUGCUUUGAUUUUUAAGGUAAAAACUUCACUUUGAAAUGGAGGUGUGUUUUGGUAUUAUUAUGAGAUUAUAAUGAGCAAAGUUCAUCCAUCGGACAAAUUUCUGGCUCAGUAACUAGUAUUUUGGAUGGAACUGAACACUUACUCUUUUUAAUUGACAGCAGCUAUACCUUAUAUUUAGAACUGGCAGCAGCUGUACCAUCUGGUUCCUGUACCUGCCUUGUUAUACGGGGCCUGGCUGCAGUAUCUUCAUAUCACUCUGCUCCCCAUAUCUUCUUAAUUGGUACUAUAUUGAGCUCCCCAGGUAUCAUCCAAGAAUGCAGGCCAGGUGCAGGGAGGAGCUGAAACCAUACAGAGCUGAUUUCUUCUCCACCAAGCAGCUGCCUUAUAUGCUGAAGAUGUGGAUAUAGCUUUAUUCUCAAUAAGCAUAUCCUUGAUAAUUAGUUUCAAAGACUUGCCCCCUCAGUAAUUAUUCCACAGUGGGACUCCUUGUUUCUUCUUGAUCCAGCAAUGGACAAGUUGGAGCACUAAACUUCUCUUGUACAGGAGAUUAAGUUUCUUCAGCGGCAUGGUAAUCCAGUUGCAGUAUCAAGAGACUGUUAACCCUAUGACUUCCACUUGGUAUGAGAGGGCCAGCUAGCAAUGCUGCACUAAAUUCAAGAAGAUGAAAGCCACAGUUUUGAAGAUGUGGGACAAGAACCACAAACCUAUCCAGAGACAUUUCUUUGGCCACUUCCAGUCAUAGUCUGCAAACCCCGUGCCAAUGUUUCAGAUUUAACCCUCCAAAAGCGUGCCUUGGGAAACGAGAGCACAAGAGAAGAAGCUUCUGAUAGAAUCAAGGCAUUGAACUCAGACCCAUGGAAUGGCAGUCAUUAUCACUGCUCUGACCAGAAGGCAAUUCCUCUGAUGCAUGAGGAUCCUGACUGGCUAAGUUGAAAGCAGUCCAUGGCUUACAAUAUUCAGCUGGAUGAGGAUUUCUGAGAGAGAGUGACCAAGGCUGAGAGACAUUAAAGGUCUUAAAAUUUAGAAAUACUAGGAAACAUUUUGACAGAAGAAUGUUCUCAAUUAUCAAAGCAUGGGGCUCUUUGUUCAUUUGCCCUGCAAUGUGCUGAGCGCCCUUGGCUCCUACGAACUUCAGUGUCAUUGGA